GACGAACGCUGGCGGCGUGCCUAACACAUGCAAGUCGAACGGAAAGGCCCUGCUUUUGUGGGGUGCUCGAUUGGCGAACGGGUGAGUAACACGUGUGUAACCUGCCCUUGUCUUUGGGAUAACUUCAGGAAACUGGGGCUAAUAUCGGAUAGGAUCUCCUGCUGCAUGGUGGGGGUUGGAAAGUUUCGGCGGUUGGGGAUGGAUUGGCGGCUUACGAGCUUGUUGGUGGGGUAGUGGAAUACCAAGGCUUCGACGGAUAGGCGGCAUGGGAGCGGAGACGGCGACCAUAGGCCUACGGGAGGCACCAGUCUGGAACGGGAGGCAAUGGUGGGAAGUAUUACACAGUGAGGGCGCGCGUGUGGCAGAGGCGCCGCGUGCGGAAUGACGGCUUUCGGGGUAUGAACAGCUUUCGCCUGUGACGAAGCGUGAGUGACGGUAAUGAGUAAAGAAGCACCGGCUAACUACGUG
rnacentral:rRNA from 1 species